CGUGGUCUGCCCGCGCUCCGGCUUGGCAUGACUUUUGGCUUGGUUUCUUCCGCCAAGCCGGCCAGUUUCUUCUGCCGAGCCGUCUGCUGCGCAGAUUCACAUUGGGGAAGUGAUAAACAGUUCGCUAUUAGGGAGCCAGUAUAUUUCUGGACUUCACUAAACCCACGAGGAACGUGAGUUUUGCUUCCUUCGACUGCAAAGCAUUUGCUAGGCCAGUACAGACUUCCUGGUGUGAUUCGUGUUCUGUGCUGCGUGCCGAGAAUGUGUGAGCGUUUUGCUCCCGUCUGCAAGAACACUUCAGCAUGCAGUUCCAAUGUUUCAAACCACAAUUUUCCGAAAGGCGAAAGAGAAAUCUAUUGACUGCAACAAUCGGUUACAACUCCGACUGGGUGCCACCUUCGAAAGGAGCGAUUUGAUCUGUUCAUCUGGCUCAUACGAAUGUUACGGAAGCAAUGCGCAACUUGUUUCACAAGAAGCCGAAGAUGUCUCGUCCGGGAUGCUGUGCCAACCUUAUCUGCAGCAGGAGAUUGCAGGGGCAGGACUAGGCAGCAGAUAAAGGCUAUCACUGGCACCACCGAAAAGCUUGCACUCCACGUCUCAACUAUCACCGUCUGGGUUUCAAGCUGAUGGCUGUCACCAGUGCCAACCAGACGCCCCUUCAAAGUUCAUCUGUUUUUGUUGACGGAACAGUGACACCUGGUAAACCUGUCACGCAGAUGCCCUACCCCUUGGUAUGCAUAGUUCAAGAUUGUACCGAAACAAUCCACCUGGAGCAUUAUUCUUCAAUUGGCAGUGGCAUUACUAUCACAACACACCACAUACUGCAUGUGUAUGGUGCGUGUACAAUGCAUCAAACCUAUUCUGAGGUACAGGCCAGCUGGUACGCAAUUACAACAUGAAACAACUGACACAGGGACCGUAAAGUCAUGCCUUUUCCUCCGCGCCUCGGGUUUCAUGUUGUUAUCCUCACAUGCAGCUCAAUUCGCCUGUGCUGUGCAGCAUGAGCAAAAGCAUAUAUUGUUCGUGGUCACGUGACACGGAACACAAAUACAGUGAAACCUUCGUACGUUGGACACCCGCGGUGCAGCCGAAGCGUCUCCUACUUAUUGAGGUGUCCGAGUUACAGAAUAUGACGGCAACAAAAAAUGGAAGAGAUCACAGCUGUGAGAAAUGUUCCCCUUCUUCAAUUUAAGGUCCUUAGUGGUACCUGGUGGUGGUGCCUGGUAGUGGUAC